rnacentral:rRNA from 1 species
UACGUAGGGGGCAAGCGUUGUCCGGAAUCAUUGGGCGUAAAGAGCGUGUAGGCGGCCCGACAAGUCCGCCGUGAAAGUCCGAGGCUCAACCUCGGAAUGCCGGUGGAAACUGUCGGGCUUGAGUUCGGAAGAGGCGAGUGGAAUUCCUGGUGUAGCGGUGAAAUGCGCAGAUAUCAGGAGGAACACCAAUGGCGAAGGCAGCUCGCUGGGACGACACUGACGCUGAGACGCGAAAGCGUGGGGAGCAAACAGG